UGCAGCAGUGCUUUCAGAUACCAAUCUAUUUUAUGGUGACUUUUCUGGGUAAUCAUCGACUGUCUAAUCAUCAUCUAAUCACCAGUUACUGAUGGUGUAAUCUGUCUCGUGGAGCCUUCUGCCUUAACAGACCUCCAUGCUGCUGAGGAUGAUGACGACACCUUAUCUCGUGCCACAGAGAAGGAAGAUGCAGAGAGGCCUGUUGAGAGCAAUGCUGGAAAUUACAAUGAGGAAGAAGGUCCAUCAACCUCCACAGCACAG